rnacentral:lncRNA from 1 species
CGCCUCUGCAGGCGCAGCGCCCAAAUCCCGCAGGACAGGUCGAGUCUCCAGCCGCUGGGGUCAACGGCUGCGGUUUAAGACUGCAGCUGCUUCCUGUCUUCCACUGGCGCUUAGGGACAGAAGUUGAAACACUAUGGAUCGCAGCUCCAAGAGGAGGCAGGUGAAGCCUUUGGCCGCUUCUCUCCUGGAAGCUCUUGAUUAUGAUAGUUCAGAUGACAGUGAUUUUAAAGUUGGAGAUGCUUCAGAUUCUGAAGGGAGUGGUAAUGGAAGUGAAGACCCUUCAAAGGACAGUGGAGAAGGUUCCUGUAGUGAUUCUGAGGAAAACAUUUUAGAAGAAGAACUGAAUGAAGAUAUUAAAGUAAAAGAAGAACAGCUUAGAAAUUCUACAGAGGAAAUAAUGUCAUCAGACAAACAGUUAAUUAAAAUGGAAAAGAA